CGUAGGGUGCAAGCGUUAAUCGGAAUUACUGGGCGUAAAGGGUGCGCAGGCGGCUCCGCAUGUCAGGCGUGAAAUCCCCGGGCUUAACCUGGGAAUGGCGCUUGAAACUACGGGGCUAGAGUAUGGCAGAGGGAGGUGGAAUUCCACGUGUAGCGGUGAAAUGCGUAGAGAUGUGGAGGAACACCGAUGGCGAAGGCAGCCUCCUGGGCCAAUACUGACGCUCAUGCACGAAAGCGUGGGGAGCAAACAGGAUUAGAUACCCUGGUAGUCCACGCCCUAAACGAUGAUGACUAGUUGUUGGAGGAGUUAAAUCCUUUAGUAACGCAGCUAACGCGAGAAGUCAUCCGCCUGGGGAGUAUGGUCGCAAGAUUA
rnacentral:rRNA from 1 species